GGGGGGCGCGGGGGGGGGGGGGGGCGCAGGCGGGGCGGGCGGAGGAAGGGAGCUUGCUCCUGGAUUCAGCGGCGGACGGGUGAGUAAUGCCUAGGAAUCUGCCUGGUAGUGGGGGAUAACGUCCGGAAACGGGCGCUAAUACCGCAUACGUCCUGAGGGAGAAAGUGGGGGAUCUUCGGACCUCACGCUAUCAGAUGAGCCUAGGUCGGAUUAGCUAGUUGGUGGGGUAAAGGCCUACCAAGGCGACGAUCCGUAACUGGUCUGAGAGGAUGAUCAGUCACACUGGAACUGAGACACGGUCCAGACUCCUACGGGAGGCAGCAGUGGGGAAUAUUGGACAAUGGGCGAAAGCCUGAUCCAGCCAUGCCGCGUGUGUGAAGAAGGUCUUCGGAUUGUAAAGCACUUUAAGUUGGGAGGAAGGGCAGUAAGUUAAUACCUUGCUGUUUUGACGUUACCAACAGAAUAAGCACCGGCUAACUUCGUG
rnacentral:rRNA from 1 species